UUAGCCGGUGCUUAUUCUGUCGGUAACGUCAAAAAUGCAAAGUAUUAAUGUACAGCCCUUCCUCCCAACUUAAAGUGCUUUACAAUCCGAAGACCUUCUUCACACACGCGGCAUGGCUGGAUCAGGCUUUCGCCCAUUGUCCAAUAUUCCCCACUGCUGCCUCCCGUAGGA
rnacentral:rRNA from 1 species